rnacentral:tRNA from 1 species
GGAGGUUUGGGUGAGUGGUUUAAACCAGCAGUCUUGAAAACUGCCGAACAGAAAUGUUCCGUGAGUUCGAAUCUCACAGCCUCCGCCA